rnacentral:rRNA from 1 species
UACGGAGGGUGCAAGCGUUGUCCGGAUUUAUUGGGUUUAAAGGGUGCGUAGGCGGCCCGUUAAGUCAGCGGUGAAAUCCCGGGGCUCAACCCCGGAACUGCCGUUGAUACUGGCGGGCUUGAGUUCGGUCGAGGCGGGCGGAACUGGCGGUGUAGCGGUGAAAUGCAUAGAUACCAUCCAGAACCCCGAUUGCGAAGGCAGCUGCCUAGACUGUAACUGACGCUGAGGCACGAAAGCGUGGGGAGCGAACAGG